CAGCCGCCGCGGUAAUACAGAGGGUGCGAGCGUUAAUCGGAUUUACUGAGCGUAAAGCGUGCGUAGGCGGCUUCUUAAGUCGGAUGUGAAAUCCCUGAGCUUAACUUAGGAAUUGCAUUCGAUACUGGGAAGCUAGAGUAUGGGAGAGGAUGGUAGAAUUCCAGGUGUAGCGGUGAAAUGCGUAGAGAUCUGGAGGAAUACCGAUGGCGAAGGCAGCCAUCUGGCCUAAUACUGACGCUGAGGUACGAAAGCAUGGGGAGCAAACAGGAUUAGAUACCCCCGUAGUCCCUGUCUCUUAUAC
rnacentral:rRNA from 1 species